CUGGGAAGCUGGAGGAAGAGGCAGUUUUCCAUUCUCCACUCCGGGCCCCGCCGGCCGCCUGAAAUAGUUACUAGAUCUACUAUGGACCAGCAAUGAAAAGAUACCAAACCAGAGUUAGAACCUGACAAAGCUGGAGGCUGUGCUUGUCCCUGUAAAGGAGUAUCUAGGCAUAGGAUCCUCUGGGAGGUUUGCAAGACAGCCAGAAGACAAAAUGGGGAGCUGGAAAGCCUGCUGGAUGAAUCUAUGUCAACAUGAC